rnacentral:rRNA from 1 species
UACGGGGGGGGCAAGCGUUGUUCGGAAUUACUGGGCGUAAAGGGCUCGUAGGCGGCCAACUAAGUCAGACGUGAAAUUCCUCGGCUUAACCGGGGAACUGCAUCUGAUACUGGAUGGCUUGAGAUUGGGAGAGGGAUGCGGAAUUCCAGGUGUAGCGGUGAAAUGCGUAGAUAUCUGGAGGAACACCGGUGGCGAAGGCGGCAUCCUGGACCAACACUGACGCUGAGGAGCGAAAGCCAGGGGAGCAAACGGG